AAAAAAUAAAUAAAGGUAACACCUAAACAACACAAUGUAGCUCCAAGUCAAUCACACUUCUGUGAAAUCAACCUGUCCAGUUAUGAAGCAACACUGAUUGUGAAUCACUUUCUCCUGCUGUUGUGCAAACUAAUCAGACAAAUUGCAAGAAAA